rnacentral:rRNA from 1 species
GAUGAACGCUGGCGGCGUGCCUAAUACAUGCAAGUCGAGCGAAUGGAUUAAGAGCUUGCUCUUAUGAAGUUAGCGGCGGACGGGUGAGUAACACGUGGGUAACCUGCCCAUAAGACUGGGAUAACUCCGGGAAACCGGGGCUAAUACCGGAUAACAUUUUGAACCGCAUGGUUCGAAAUUGAGAGGCGGCUUCGGCUGUCACUUAUGGAUGGACCCGCGUCGCAUUAGCUAGUUGGUGAGGUACCGGCUCACCAAGGCAACGAUGCGUAGCCGACCUGAGAGGGUGAUCGGCCACACUGGGACUGAGACACGGCCCAGACUCCUACGGGAGGCAGCAGUAGGGAAUCUUCCGCAAUGGACGAAAGUCUGACGGAGCAACGCCGCGUGAGUGAUGAAGGCUUUCGGGUCGUAAACCUCUGUUGUUAGGGAAGAACAAGUGCUCUUUUCCUAAGCUGGCACCUUGACGGUACCUAACCAGAAAGCCACGGCUAACUACGUGCCAGCCGCCGCUGUAA